GACAGAGGGUGCAAACGUUGUUCGGAAUUACUGGGCGUAAAGCGCGUGUAGGCUGCUCCGCAAGUCGGAUGUGAAAGCCCUGGGCUCAACCUAGGAAGUGCAUUCGAUACUGCGGAGCUGGAGUCCUGGAGAGGAAGGCGGAAUUCUCGGUGUAGAGGUGAAAUUCGUAGAUAUCGAGAGGAACACCGGUGGCGAAGGCGGCCUUCUGGACAGUGACUGACGCUGAGACGCGAAAGCGUGGGAGCAAACAGG
rnacentral:rRNA from 1 species